rnacentral:rRNA from 1 species
GGAUUAGAAACCCGGGUAGUCCAUGCCGUAAACGUUGGGCACUAGGUGUGGGGUCCAUUCCACGGGUCCUGUGCCGUAGCAAACGCAUUAAGUGCCCCGCCUGGGGAGUACGGCCGCAAGGCUAAAACUCAAAGAAAUUGACGGGGGCCCGCACAAGCGGCGGAGCAUGCGGAUUAAUUCGAUGCAACGCGAAGAACCUUACCAAGGCUUGACAUGCACCGGAAACAUCCAGAGAUGGGUGCCCCGUAAGGUCGGUGCACAGGUGGUGCAUGGUUGUCGUCAGCUCGUGUCGUGAGAUGUUGGGUUAAGUCCCGCAACGAGCGCAACCCUCGUCCCAUGUUGCCAGCGAGUCGUGUCGGGGACUCAUGGGAGACUGCCGGGGUCAACUCGGAGG